rnacentral:rRNA from 1 species
GUGCAGCAGUCGCGAAACCUCCGCAAUACACGAAAGUGUGACGGGGCCAUCCCGAGUGCCGUCCGCUGAGGACGGCUUUUCCCCAGUGUACAUAGCUGGGGGAAUAAGGAGAGGGCAAGCCUGGUGUCAGCCGCCGCGGUAAUACCAGCUCUCCGAGUGGUGGGGACGCUUAUUGGGCCUAAAGCAUCCGUAGCCGGCUAGGCAAGUCCUCCGUUAAAUCCAACGAUUCAAUCGUUGGGCUGCGGGGGAUACUGUCCAGCUUGGGGGCGGGAGAGGCCGACGGUAUUCCCCGGGGUAGGGGUGAAAUCCUAUAAUCCCGGGAGGACCACCAGUGGCGAAGGCUGUCGGCUAGAACGCGCCCGACGGUGAGGGAUGAAAGCUGGGGGAGCGAACCGGAUUAGAUACCCGCGUAGU